rnacentral:rRNA from 1 species
GUGCCAGCAGCCGCGGUAAUACGUAGGUGGCAAGCGUUGUCCGGAAUUAUUGGGCGUAAAGCGCGCGCAGGCGGUUUCUUAAGUCUGAUGUGAAAGCCCCCGGCUCAACCGGGGAGGGUCAUUGGAAACUGGGGAACUUGAGUGCAGAAGAGGAGAGUGGAAUUCCACGUGUAGCGGUGAAAUGCGUAGAGAUGUGGAGGAACACCAGUGGCGAAGGCGACUCUCUGGUCUGUAACUGACGCUGAGGCGCGAAAGCGUGGGGAGCGAACAGGAUUAGAUACCCUGGUAGUCCACGCCGUAAACGAUGAGUGCUAAGUGUUAGAGGGUUUCCGCCCUUUAGUGCUGCAGCAAACGCAUUAAGCACUCCGCCUGGGGAGUACGGCGCAAGACUGAAACUCAAAGGAAUUGACGG